GUACCCUAAUACAUGCAAGUCGAACGAACUCUGGUAUUGAUUGGUGCUUGCAUCAUGAUUUACAUUUGAGUGAGUGGCGAACUGGUGAGUAACACGUGGGAAACCUGCCCAGAAGCGGGGGAUAACACCUGGAAACAGAUGCUAAUACCGCAUAACAACUUGGACCGCAUGGUCCGAGCUUGAAAGAUGGCUUCGGCUAUCACUUUUGGAUGGUCCCGCGGCGUAUUAGCUAGAUGGUGGGGUAACGGCUCACCAUGGCAAUGAUACGUAGCCGACCUGAGAGGGUAAUCGGCCACAUUGGGACUGAGACACGGCCCAAACUCCUACGGGAGGCAGCAGUAGGGAAUCUUCCACAAUGGACGAAAGUCUGAUGGAGCAACGCCGCGUGAGUGAAGAAGGGUUUCGGCUCGUAAAACUCUGUUGUUAAAGAAGAACAUAUCUGAGAGUAACUGUUCAGGUAUUGACGGUAUUUAACCAGAAAGCCACGGCUAACUACGUGCCAGCAGCCGCGGUAAUACGUAGGUGGCAAGCGUUGUCCGGAUUUAUUGGGCGUAAAGCGAGCGCAGGCGGUUUUUUAAGUCUGAUGUGAAAGCCUUCGGCUCAACCGAAGAAGUGCAUCGGAAACUGGGAAACUUGAGUGCAGAAGAGGACAGUGGAACUCCAUGUGUAGCGGUGAAAUGCGUAGAUAUAUGGAAGAACACCAGUGGCGAAGGCGGCUGUCUGGUCUGUAACUGACGCUGAGGCUCGAAAGUAUGGGUAGCAAACAGGAUUAGAUACCCUGGUAGUCCAUACCGUAAACGAUGAAUGCUAAGUGUUGGAGGGUUUCCGCCCUUCAGUGCUGCAGCUAACGCAUUAAGCAUUCCGCCUGGGGAGUACGGCCGCAAGGCUGAAACUCAAAGGAAUUGACGGGGGCCCGCACAAGCGGUGGAGCAUGUGGUUUAAUUCGAAGCUACGCGAAGAACCUUACCAGGUCUUGACAUACUAUGCAAAUCUAAGAGAUUAGACGUUCCCUUCGGGGACAUGGAUACAGGUGGUGCAUGGUUGUCGUCAGCUCGUGUCGUGAGAUGUUGGGUUAAGUCCCGCAACGAGCGCAACCCUUAUUAUCAGUUGCCAGCAUUAAGUUGGGCACUCUGGUGAGACUGCCGGUGACAAACCGGAGGAAGGUGGGGAUGACGUCAAAUCAUCAUGCCCCUUAUGACC
rnacentral:rRNA from 2 species